rnacentral:rRNA from 1 species
UACGUAGGGCGCAAGCGUUGUCCGGAAUUAUUGGGCGUAAAGAGCUUGUAGGCGGUUUGUCGCGUCUGCCGUGAAAAUCCGGGGCUCAACCCCGGACUUGCGGUGGGUACGGGCAGACUAGAGUGUUGCAGGGGAGACUGGAAUUCCUGGUGUAGCGGUGAAAUGCGCAGAUAUCAGGAGGAACACCGGUGGCGAAGGCGGGUCUCUGGGCAACAACUGACGCUGAGGAGCGAAAGCGUGGGGAGCGAACAGG